AUUCCGGUUGAUCCUGCCGGAGGUCAUUGCUAUUGGAGUCCGAUUUAGCCAUGCUAGUCGCACGAGUUUAGACUCGUGGCAGAUAGCUCAGUAACACGUGGCCAAACUACCCUAUAGAUCCGGCCAACCUCGGGAAACUGAGGCUAAUCCGGAAUAACGCUUUCAGCCUGGAGUGGCGAGAGCGUGAAACGCUCCGGCGCUAUAGGAUGUGGCUGCGGCCGAUUAGGUAGACGGUGGGGUAACGGCCCACCGUGCCAGUAAUCGGUACGGGUUGUGAGAGCAAGAGCCCGGAGACGGUAUCUGAGACAAGAUACCGGGCCCUACGGGGCGCAGCAGGCGCGAAACCUUUACACUGCACGCGAGUGCGAUAAGGGGACUCCAGGUGCGAGGGCAUAUAGUCCUCGCUUUUCUCGACCGUAGGGAGGUUGAGGAACAAGUGCUGGGCAAGACCGGUGCCAGCCGCCGCGGUAAUACCGGCAGCACAAGUGAUGACCGCUGUUAUUGGGCCUAAAGCGUCCGUAGCUGGCCAGACAAGUUUAUCGGGAAAUCUGUGCGCCUAACGCACAGGCGUCCGGUGGAAACUGCCUGGCUUGGGACCGGAAGACCUGAGGGGUACGUCUGGGGUAGGAGUGAAAUCCCGUAAUCCUGGACGGACCACCGGUGGCGAAAGCGCCUCAGGAAGACGGAUCCGACGGUGAGGGACGAAAGCUCGGGUCACGAACCGGAUUAGAUACCCGGGUAGUCCGAGCUGUAAACGAUGUCUGCUAGGUGUGACACAGGCUACGAGCCUGUGUUGUGCCGUAGGGAAGCCGUGAAGCAGACCGCCUGGGAAGUACGUCCGCAAGGAUGAAACUUAAAGGAAUUGGCGGGGGAGCACUACAACCGGAGGAGCCUGCGGUUUAAUUGGACUCAACGCCGGACAUCUCACCAGCAUCGACAGUGUGCAGUGACAGUCAGUGUGAUGAGCUUACUUGAGCCACUGAGAGGAGGUGCAUGGCCGCCGUCAGCUCGUACCGUGAGGCGUCCUGUUAAGUCAGGCAACGAGCGAGACCCGCACCCUUAAUUGCCAGCAACACCCUUGUGGUGGUUGGGUACAUUAAGAGGACUGCCAGUGCCAAACUGGAGGAAGGAACGGGCAACGGUAGGUCAGUAUGCCCCGAAUGUGCUGGGCGACACGCGGGCUACAAUGGUCGAGACAGUGGGAUGCAACGCCGAAAGGCGACGCUAAUCUCCGAAACUCGAUCGUAGUUCGGAUUGAGGGCUGAAACUCGCCCUCAUGAAGCUGGAUUCGGUAGUAAUCGCGCCUCAGAAGGGCGCGGUGAAUACGUCCCUGCUCCUUGCACACACCGCCCGUCAAAGCACCCGAGUGGGGUCCGGAUGAGGCCCGGUUUCCGGGUCGAAUCUGGGCUCCGCAAGGGGGCUUAAGUCGUAACAAGGUAGCCGUAGGGGAAUCUGCGGCUGGAUCACCUCCA
rnacentral:rRNA from 1 species